rnacentral:rRNA from 1 species
UACGUAGGGGGCAAGCGUUGUCCGGAUUUAUUGGGCGUAAAGAGCGUGUAGGCGGCCAUACAGGUCCGUUGUGAAAACUGGAGGCUUAACCUCCAGACGUCGAUGGAAACCGUAUGGCUAGAGUCCGGAAGAGGAGAGUGGAAUUCCUGGUGUAGCGGUGAAAUGCGCAGAUAUCAGGAGGAACACCGGUGGCGAAGGCGGGUCUCUGGGCCGGAACUGACGCUAAGGAGCGAAAGCGUGGGGAGCGAACAGG